rnacentral:rRNA from 1 species
AUUGAACGCUGGCGGCAUGCCUUACACAUGCAAGUCGAACGGCAGCACGGGAGCAAUCCUGGUGGCGAGUGGCGAACGGGUGAGUAAUAUAUCGGAACGUGCCCAGUCGUGGGGGAUAACGUAGCGAAAGCUACGCUAAUACCGCAUACGAUCUACGGAUGAAAGCGGGGGAUCGCAAGACCUCGCGCGAUUGGAGCGGCCGAUAUCAGAUUAGCUAGUUGGUGGGGUAAAAGCUCACCAAGGCGACGAUCUGUAGCUGGUCUGAGAGGACGACCAGCCACACUGGAACUGAGACACGGUCCAGACUCCUACGGGAGGCAGCAGUGGGGAAUUUUGGACAAUGGGCGCAAGCCUGAUCCAGCAAUGCCGCGUGCAGGAUGAAGGCCUUCGGUUGUAACUGCUUUGUACGAACGAAACGGUAGAGCUCUAAUAAAGACUUGCUAAUGACGGUACCGUAAGAAUAAGACACCGGCUAACUACGUGCCACG